AUUGAACGCUGGCGGCAGGCCUAACACAUGCAAGUCGAGCGGAAGAAGGGUGCUUGCUCCUGGAUUCAGCGGCGGACGGGUGAGUAAUGCCUAGGAAUCUGCCUGGUAGUGGGGUAUAACGUCCGGAAACGGGCGCUAAUACCACAUACGUCCUGAUGGAGAAGGUGGGGGAGCUUCGGACAUCACGCUAUCAGGUGAGCCUAGGUCGGGUUAGCUAGUUGGUGGGGUAAGGGGCUACCAAGGCGAGGAUCCGUAGAUGGUCUGAGAGGCUGAUCGGUCACCCUGGAACUUAGACACGGUCCAGGCUCCUACGGGAGGCAGCAGUGGGGAAUAUUGGACAAUGGGGGAGAGCCUGAUCCAGCCAUGCCGCGUGUGUGAAGAAGGUCCUCGGAUUGUAAAGCACUUCAAGUUGGUAGGAAGGGCAGUAAGUUAAGACCAUGCGGUAGUGACGGUACCAACAGAAUAAGCACCGGCUAACUACGUG
rnacentral:rRNA from 1 species